AAAAUAUCCGUGUCUAUUUUGCCCAUUGAGACAAAAUUGAAAAAACAAGUACCUAGAUGUCAAGAAAUAAAGAUUGAGAAUCCAAAUUCUAAAUUAUCCAUAUGCUGUGGAACUCUUGUGCAUUCGUCCCUUAGUAUAAAGAAGUUGAUAGCUCAUUCUUGGAUAUCUUGCAUUAACAGAGUCAUGUGAUUGUUUUUCCAGUUGAGAGAACAAGAAGUAGACAAAGGUCCAGGAUGGGAAAUGUGCAUUUAUUGUGUGCUAUGUAGAUUGUUCCUUAUGUUCAGUACUUGGCCGAGCAUCAAAUUUCUGAAGCAAAAGAGUAAACUCUGUUCGUUGUCUCUGGUUUUCAAAGCCUACUGUAUCACAAAAAUCAACGCGAACCCGAAAGUUUUACAAUACUGCGAAACAAGUUUUCAGUACGAAUUUAGCUUCACAUGGCAGACAGGUUAUUGAACAUGGAUCGUAGUUGAAUUAUGUUGUGUGAUUGGUUGGAUAAGAGAUAUCAGGAUGGGUUGAGGAAUUUUCUAGCUUUCGCACGUGAUAUAUCGUUGUCAACAUUGCCGUAAUACUACAUUUUUGGACAUCAAUGCAGUCAAGCAUCACUUGUUCAGAUAUGGAUUUGAUAUAUCAUACCAAAGGUGGAGUUUCAUGGUGAGUAAUUAUCUGCAACCAAUACUUCAAGAUUGGAGAAUAGCAAUGCUGAAGUUGCUGAUAAUGACUUUGAGGAUGAAGAAGAUAUCAUUGAAAUGUUAAGUGAUUUAGAAGGUGCAAAUGUUUGUGCAGCGAACUCAUCAGUUGAACCAGACGUUGAACAGAUUCAUAGUCAAGGUUUUCAAAGAAAUGAAGAUGAAAUUAAUUUUGAAAACAUGUUCAACCAAGAAUUUGAACAGUUAUACUUGAACUAUGCUAAAUACUCAAUCCUUAAUUUCGUUAUCAAACUCAUGCAUAUCAAAGUGCGUAAUGGAUGGAGUAACAAGUCUUUUGAUAUGCUACUCCAAUUAUUGAAAAUGCUUUUCUUGUAUCAAAUAAUAUACCAUGUUCGCACUAUGAGUUGAAGAAGAUGCUCAAGGAGUUGGGAAUGGUAUAUAAAUCACAUCAUGCCUGUAAGCAUGAUUGCAUCCUAUUUUGGAAGGAAAAUCAAGACCUUGAUGCAUGUCCGAUAUGCUAUGAGUCUAGAUAUCGAAGUAACGAAGAUAAGCAGAAAAAGAUUCCACAAAAAAUUCUUCGAUACUUUCCUGUGAUUCCUAGACUUAAGAGAUUGUCUAUGUCUCGUUAAACAGCGUCGGAGAUGAAGUGGCAUAAAACUAAAUGGUUGUAGAAGAAGGCAUAUUGAGACACCCUGCAGAUGGAGAGGCUUUGCAAGCCUUUGAUGCCAUGUACCCUGAUUUCGCCCAAGAAAUGAGAAAUGUACAUUUGGGGUUGGUAGCUGAUGGGUUUAUUCCAUUUGGAAAUAUGUCUAAUGCAUAUAGUAUGUGGCCAGUGAUACUUAUUCCUUACAAUUUACCUCCUUGGAAGAUGAUGAAAACACCAUAUAUGAUGAUGUCUUUAUUGAUUCUGAGUCCAAAAUCCCCUGGAAAAGAAAUUGACGUGUAUCUGCCACCUUUGAUUGAUGAUUUAAAAAAGUUGUGGAGUGGUUUUCAAGCAUAUGACGUGUCAACGAAGGAAAUGUCCUGUAUGCAAUGAAGAUUCAUUAUCAUUGAGAUUGCGAAGCAAGAUAGUUUAUAUGGACAUAGCCAAUUUUUACCUACUAAUCAUCCAUGGCGCAGAAGCAAAAACUACAACGAAAAAAGUGAGUUACGUCAACCUCCAUGUGAAUUUACAAGAGAAGAUAUCAUUUGUCAAUUGAAUAGGUUGGAUGAUGUUGUAUUUGGUAAAAAUCCUUUGGCAUGUGGAAAAUGCAAACGAAGUGUCGAAGACUUGAAUUGGGUGAAGCGUUCCAUUGUCAUGCAGAAAGAGAUAAACAGCAUACAGACCACACGAGGCACAUGUUGAGGGAGAUGAGAAUGAAAGUCGAGUAUAACUCACUGCUACUGGAGAAUGUGACUUGGUUCUAUUGUUGCCUACGUUUUUUGUUUCACUAGUCUUCUAAUUUUUUGAAACUAUACUACAUCUAUGUACGUAGUUACUCACUUUGGAACAGAAUUGUCUUGUCAACAAUAAUAUAUUAUUUAGCCUUGCAUUUACUUUGCUAUAGGCUUAUGCAUUGUGAUUUCGAAUAUAUCAAGUAUUUUGAUUGUUGUUAUUCGUUGUGUAUGAAUCGGGC
rnacentral:lncRNA from 1 species